rnacentral:rRNA from 1 species
AACGAACGCUGGCGGCAUGCCUAACACAUGCAAAGUCGAACGAGACCUUCGGGUCUAGUGGCGCACGGGUGCGUAACGCGUGGGAAUCUACCUAGUAGUGGGGGAUAACCCGGGAAACGUCGGGCUAAUACCGCGUACGCCCUACGGGGGAAAGGCGGGGACGUUUCGGGUCCGUCGCGCUAUUAGAUGAGCCUAAGUACCGAUUAGUCUAGUUGGUAGGGUAAGUAGGCCUACCAAGGCGACGAUCGGUAGCUGGUCUGAGAGGA